rfam:Lactobacillus bifermentans DSM 20003 NODE_294, whole genome shotgun sequence.
AGAGUGUUAUGAUGUUGGUUAGUUGUUUUUCCAAGUCUAGCUCGACGGUUGUCACAAUAGUGGACUUUUGCCCUAUUGUG